UACGGAGGGAGCUAGCGUUGUUCGGAAUUACUGGGCGUAAAGCGCACGUAGGCGGCUUUGUAAGUUAGAGGUGAAAGCCCGGGGCUCAACCCCGGAAUUGCCUUUAAGACUGCAUCGCUUGAAUCCGGGAGAGGUGAGUGGAAUUCCGAGUGUAGAGGUGAAAGUUCGUAGAUAUUCGGAAGAACACCAGUGGCGAAGGCGGCUCACUGGACCGGCAUUGACGCUGAGGUGCGAAAGCGUGGGGAGCAAACAGG
rnacentral:rRNA from 1 species